rnacentral:rRNA from 1 species
CCCUUAGAUGUUCUGGGCCGCACGCGCGCUACACUGAUGCAUUCAACGAGUGUACCUUGGCCGAGAGGCCUGGGCAAUCUUUUGAACGUGCAUCGUGAUAGGGAUAGAUUAUUGCAAUUAUUAAUCUUGAACGAGGAAUUCCUAGUAAACGCAGAUCAUCAAUCUGCAUUGAUUACGUCCCUGCCCUUUGUACACACCGCCCGUCGCACCUACCGAUUGAACGUUUUAGUGAGGCAUUUGGACCGACGCAUCUCAGUUUAACCGCUGGUUUGUGUUGGAAAGACUUCCAAACUUGAGCGUUUAGAGGAAGUAAAAGUCGUAACA